ACAUGUCAGAGUUCCGGUGUGAGAGCGUGUGCAUGAGAGUGUGAGUGCGAGUGUUGCAUCUUCUUUCAGCGAGGAUCUUCGUGAGGAGUCUGUGGAGCCAGCGCAGGUGAAGCUGAUCUGCCUCAUCAGCGUGCUGGAAUAUAGGAGCGGCAGAACCCUUCAGUCUUCGCUAGAUGGUUAACGCAUACCGAACUUGCCGAGAAUACCUGCCUGCCUGCUCCGCCGUUUCCACCGACCCCCUCUCGCUCCAACCACCCGCGAUUCCGCCUCGCACCCGCCCUAGGCACCGUAGCACUCCCUCGCACCGGACCCUGGCACCUCACCCCCACGCUCUGAAAGAUCCACGUCAAAUGCCACCUGGUCGGGCGACCCUCGCCCUCCUGCCGAAGUCCAGAGAACUGAAUAUAAUUUGUCCUGUUGUAAAUAAAUCACUUACCUUUUCCA